UUCCGGUUGAUCCUGCCGGAGGUUACUGCUAUCGAGAUUCGACUAAGCCAUGCGAGUUGAAUGUUCUUCGUGAACAUGGCGGACUGCUCAGUAACACGUGGACAACCUACCCUUCGGUUCGGCAUAAUCCUGGGAAACUGGGGAUAAUUCCGGAUAGGUCACAGAUGCUGGAAUGCUCUGUGGCUCAAAGCUCCGGCGCCGAAGGAUGGGUCUGCGGCCUAUCAGGGUUGUAGUGGGUGUAACGUACCUACUAGCCUACGACGGGUACGGGUUGUGAGAGCAAGAGCCCGGAGAUGGAUUCUGAGACACGAAUCCAGGCCCUACGGGGUGCAGCAGGCGCGAAAACUUUACAAUGCGGGAAACCGUGAUAAGGGAAUCUCGAGUGCCAGCAUAUAAUGUUGGCUGUCCAGAUGCCUAAAAAGCAUCUGUUAGCAAGGGCCGGGCAAGACCGGUGCCAGCCGCCGCGGUAACACCGGCGGCCCGAGUGGUAACCGUUUUUAUUGGGUCUAAAGGGUCUGUAGCCGGCCAUGUAAGUCCCUUGGGAAAUCUGGCAGCUCAACUGUCAGGCUGCUAGGGGAUACUGCUUGGCUUGGGACCGGGAGAGGUGAGAGGUACCUUGAGGGUAGGGGUGAAAUCUUGUGAUCCUCGGGGGACCACCAGUGGCGAAGGCGUCUCAUCAGAACGGGUCCGACGGUAAGGGACGAAAGCUAGGGGCACGAACCGGAUUAGAUACCCGGGUAGUCCUAGCCGUAAACGAUGCUCGCUAGGUGUCAGUCACGGUGCGACCGUGAUUGGUGCCGUAGGGAAGCCGUGAAGCGAGCCACCUGGGAAGUACGGCCGCAAGGCUGAAACUUAAAGGAAUUGG
rnacentral:rRNA from 1 species